rnacentral:rRNA from 1 species
GAGAGUUUGAUCCUGGCUCAGAUUGAACGCUAGCGGGAUGCUUUACACAUGCAAGUCGAACGGCAGCACGAGAGAGCUUGCUCUCUUGGUGGCGAGUGGCGGACGGGUGAGUAAUAUAUCGGAACGUGCCCAGUAGCGGGGGAUAACUACUCGAAAGAGUGGCUAAUACCGCAUACGCCCUACGGGGGAAAGGGGGGGAUCGCAAGACCUCUCACUAUUGGAGCGGCCGAUAUCGGAUUAGCUAGUUGGUGGGGUAAAGGCUCACCAAGGCAACGAUCCGUAGCUGGUUUGAGAGGACGACCAGCCACACUGGGACUGAGACACGGCCCAGACUCCUACGGGAGGCAGCAGUGGGGAAUUUUGGACAAUGGGGGAAACCCUGAUCCAGCCAUCCCGCGUGUAUGAUGAAGGCCUUCGGGUUGUAAAGUACUUUUGGCAGAGAAGAAAAGGCAUCCCCUAAUACGGGAUGCUGCUGACGGUAUCUGCAGAAUAAGCACCGGCUAACUACGUGCCAGCAGCCGCGGUAAUACGUAGGGUGCAAGCGUUAAUCGGAAUUACUGGGCGUAAAGCGUGUGUAGGCGGUUCGGAAAGAAAGAUGUGAAAUCCCAGGGCUCAACCUUGGAACUGCAUUUUUAACUGCCGAGCUAGAGUAUGUCAGAGGGGGGUAGAAUUCCACGUGUAGCAGUGAAAUGCGUAGAUAUGUGGAGGAAUACCGAUGGCGAAGGCAGCCCCCUGGGAUAAUACUGACGCUCAGACACGAAAGCGUGGGGAGCAAACAGGAUUAGAUACCCUGGUAGUCCACGCCCUAAACGAUGUCAACUAGCUGUUGGGGCCGUUAGGCCUUAGUAGCGCAGCUAACGCGUGAAGUUGACCGCCUGGGGAGUACGGUCGCAAGAUUAAAACUCAAAGGAAUUGACGGGGACCCGCACAAGCGGUGGAUGAUGUGGAUUAAUUCGAUGCAACGCGAAAAACCUUACCUACCCUUGACAUGUCUGGAAAGCCGAAGAGAUUUGGCCGUGCUCGCAAGAGAACCGGAACACAGGUGCUGCAUGGCUGUCGUCAGCUCGUGUCGUGAGAUGUUGGGUUAAGUCCCGCAACGAGCGCAACCCUUGUCAUUAGUUGCUACGCAAGAGCACUCUAAUGAGACUGCCGGUGACAAACCGGAGGAAGGUGGGGAUGACGUCAAGUCCUCAUGGCCCUUAUGGGUAGGGCUUCACACGUCAUACAAUGGUCGGGACAGAGGGUCGCCAACCCGCGAGGGGGAGCCAAUCUCAGAAACCCGAUCGUAGUCCGGAUCGCAGUCUGCAACUCGACUGCGUGAAGUCGGAAUCGCUAGUAAUCGCGGAUCAGAAUGUCGCGGUGAAUACGUUCCCGGGUCUUGUACACACCGCCCGUCACACCAUGGGAGUGGGUUUCACCAGAAGUAGGUAGCCUAACCGCAAGGAGGGCGCUUACCACGGUGGGAUUCAUGGCUGGGGUGAAGUCGUAACAAGGUAGCCGUA